rnacentral:ncRNA from 1 species
AUCCGCCCACCCUGCCGGCGCUUAAAUGCAGGGCAGCCCCGGGCGCGGAGUGGCCGCGCGUUUACAAAUCAAAUCGAGGGUGAGAAAGGAAC